AAAUGUAUCUACUAUUACACGUACCUUCACUGAAAUUUAAAAACGACAAUUUAUUUUCGUCUUUUUUAGUAAAAAGUAAUUAGUGGAGGCGUUUACAUCCGGUUAAAAAUAACGCUGACAUUUUUUCUUCCGGUACGUACACGCUCCGACUCAUUUCUGCGAAUCGGUUCUUUCAAACCGUUUUAAAGAUCCUUUACAAAAAAACGAUUCAGUGAUUCCUCUGUGUAUUACUGGAAUUUUAGUCAAGUUGCUCAGAUUCCGCACAUAAAACAUAGUGAUUUAAAAACAAUAUAACUUAGUUAUAAUUUAAUUUUGUUAUAAUUUUAUAACAAGUAAAAACAGUGAUCACUCGACACUGCUCGAACGGAUUCAAGAAUCGUUUGUGUGUUUUUUAAACGAUUCAACCGAUUUAAGUGCAAAGAUCCGAAUGAUUCACUCACUAAGCUGCGACAUUGUUACACACCGCGUGGAUGUUCUUACAGUUUUUGGCUGGAGACUCAACGCGGCUGCAUAGAUCAAACAGAAGGAGCAAAAGGCGUGACUUCUCCAGACUUUGAAGUUUUACGUGCGAUAUUCUUUUAACAAAUCUCGUCCUGUUUCCACGGCGGUAAUGGUUUGUUAUGUACCGUUACCAAUCCAUAAACAGGCAGAGUAAAGCAGCGGCAAUCAGAUAUUGUCUGGCAGGAGGAGCGCGCCUUUCAGACACAUUUGAAUUGCCACAAUUAAACGUUGUGUUGUAAAUGGGAAGGGGAAAAACCUACAUUGACUAAUUCAGACUGUUUUCUUUAUCUGUAGGUUCGUCCGGAUUCCACUCUUGCUCACCAUGAUAAUCUCAGUAAUGUGUAAAGGUGUGUUUUAUAAUCGCCAUAUGUUGACAUAUGCUUUUUUUUUUUUUUUUCCCCCUCAAUAAAAUGUGUAUGCAAAAAGAC